rnacentral:lncRNA from 1 species
GGACAGACCAAGGGAAAUGUACUGCAGAGGAUAUGAAGAUACUUCUGAUCGAGUGAUGGUGAAGGGGUUUUAGGACUGAUUAUUGGCACAUUCACCUCAGGAAUGCUUUUUAUCCCUUAUUAGUCAGAGUCACAGCCUAGUUAUCAAGACUCUUCCUUUUUUUAAAAAACAUGGUUUAAUUUAUUUAUUUUUGGCUGCCCUGGCUUUUCGUUGCUGCUUGCUCUGAGCUUUCUCUAGUUGAGGCAAGCAUAGGCCACUCUCUAGUUGCCGUGUUGGGGCUUCUCACUGUGGUGGCUUCCCUUGGUGCAGAAACAAGCUCCAGGGUGUGUGGGCUUCAGGAGUUGCAGCACAUGGGCGCAGCAGUUGUGGCUCUUGGGCUCUAGCACAUGGGCUCAGCAGUUGUGGCUCUUGGUCUCCAGCACAUGGGCUCAGCAGUUGUGGCUCUUGGUCUCCAGCACAUGGGCUCAGCAGUUGUGGCUCUUGGUCUCCAGCACAUGGGCUCAGCAGUUGUGGCUCUUGGUCUCCAGCACAUGGGCUCAGCAGUUGUGGCUCUUGGUCUCCAGCACAUGGGCUCAGCAGUUGUGGCUCUUGGUCUCCAGCACAUGGGCUCAGCAGUUGUGGCUCUUGGGCUCUAGCACAUGGGCUCAGCAGUUGUGGCUCUUGGUCUCCAGCACAUGGGCUCAGCAGUUGUGGCUCUUGGUCUCCAGCACAUGGGCUCAGCAGUUGUGGCUCUUGGGCUUCAGCACAUGGGCUCAGCAGUUGUGGCUCUUGGUCUCCAGCACAUGGGCUCAGCAGUUGUGGCUCUUGGUCUCCAGCACAUGGGCUCAGCAGUUGUGGCUCUUGGUCUCCAGCACAUGGGCUCAGCAGUUGUGGCUCUUGGGCUCUAGCACAUGGGCUCAGAAGUUGUGGCUCUUGGUCUCCAGCACAUGGGCUCAGCAGUUGUGGCUCUUGGUCUCCAGCACAUGGGCUCAGCAGUUGUGGCUCUUGGUCUCCAGCACAUGGGCUCAGCAGUUGUGGCUCUUGGUCUCCAGCACAUGGGCUCAGCAGUUGUGGCUCUUGGUCUUCAGCACUGGGCUCAGCAGUUGUGGCUCUUGGGCUCUAGCACAUGGGCUCAGCAGUUGUGGCACCGGAGCUUGGUUGCCCUGCAGCAUGUGGGAUCCUCCCAGAC